AUGGCUCCGCCGUGGCAUGCGUCUGCAGCGGGGAAGUGCAGCUAUGUCUUUAAGAAGGGCCUGGGCUGGGGUGGGAGAAGCAUUUCCACGCAGCUUUUCUCCCGGCGAACCUGGAGCGAGUUAGCAGCCGAGUUCGCACCGCUGCCGUCAGCCAGCUCGCCCCAAUGGGAGCCGCGGUGCCAUGAGGACACGGGGCACGGGGCAGCCCUCAGCCCCCCCAGCCCCCAGCCCCGUGGGGAGAGGAAGAGGCCGAGCUGGGUAUGUAGUUCUAUCCCCGACUUGCAGUUUCACUUUGGGGAGGGUCCGGCAGCUCUGCGGGGUGAGGACAGGGAGCGCAGUGUGUCCCCAGCACUGGGUGUUUCCUCCUCCUCCUCCUCCUCUUCCUCCUCCUUGCAGCUCUGCCUGGAGACUCCAUUGGGAGGGGAGGUGCCCCCAUACCCCCACCUCGCUGCCACAUUCCUGGCUCCAGGGCGGGAGCUCCGGGUGGGAUCAGGCAGCGAUGCUGUGAUGCAUGUGCACGGGACAGCGUGCCAUGCCAUGUCCUGCACCCCAGCGGGGUCACUGCCGCCGCAUCCCCCUCCAUGGGCUCAGCGUUGUGGCAGCAUGUGGCACCCAGCCGGGCGGUGCUCGGUUGCGCUCACUUUUCGCAGGCUGGAAGCAGCUCUGGUGGCAGAGGAUGUGGGUGCAGUUUUUGGGGUGCCUGCCGUUGGGGUAUUCGUGGGAGGGCUGCACAUCCCCGCAUGGGCAGCAAAGAGCUCACAGCUGGUCCUGUGCUCAUGGCACUUGGCGGGGAGUGAGGGAGGGGGGGGAGCCGGGUUGAGGAGCGGGGAAACUGGCGCUGCUACGCGGGAGGAAUCCCAGGAAUGCAGAACCCAGAGGGGACACGAGGUGGCACGACAGCCUCAGCUCGCGUUUUGGGAUCCGCGAGCAGAGCGGUGCCAGGGGCCGCUCCGGGGUCACCUUCAGUGGGGCGAGCGGUGGGGCGCGGGCACGAGGCUCCCGACCACCCCCUCCCCAGCACCCCUAACAGCCCACAGCCACCCACACCGCUUUGGGCUGCGUGGGGCUGCAUGGGGCAGCACGGGGCCCCGGUCCCGCUCCCCCUGUCCUUGGCUCGGGCCCUGA
rnacentral:lncRNA from 1 species